AUUGAACGCUGGCGGCAGGCUUAACACAUGCAAGUCGAGCGGGGGAAGGUAGCUUGCUACCGGACCUAGCGGCGGACGGGUGAGUAUGCUUAGGAAUCUGCCUAUUAGUGGGGGACAACAUCUCGAAAGGGAUGCUAAUACCGCAUACGUCCUACGGGAGAAAGCAGGGGAUCUUCGGACCUUGCGCUAAUAGAUGAGCCUAAGUCGGAUUAGCUAGUUGGUGGGGUAAAGGCCUACCAGGGCGACGAUCUGUAGCGGGUCUGAGAGGAUGAUCCGCCACACUGGGACUGAGACACGGCCCAGACUCCUACGGGAGGCAGCAGUGGGGAAUAUUGGACAAUGGGGGGAACCCUGAUCCAGCCAUGCCGCGUGUGUGAAGAAGGCCUUAUGGUUGUAAAGCACUUUAAGCGAGGAGGAGGCUACUCUAGUUAAUACCUAGGGAUAGUGGACGUUACUCGCAGAAUAAGCACCGGCUAACUCUGUGCCAGCCGCCGCUGUAA
rnacentral:rRNA from 1 species